CUCCUGGAAACGGGUGGUAAUGCCGGAUGUUCCAGUUGAUCGCAUGGUCUUCUGGGAAAGCUUUCGCGGUAUGGGAUGGGGUCGCGUCCUAUCAGCUUGACGGCGGGGUAACGGCCCACCGUGGCUUCGACGGGUAGCCGGCCUGAGAGGGUGACCGGCCACAUUGGGACUGAGAUACGGCCCAGACUCCUACGGGAGGCAGCAGUGGGGAAUAUUGCACAAUGGGCGCAAGCCUGAUGCAGCGACGCCGCGUGAGGGAUGGAGGCCUUCGGGUUGUAAACCUCUUUUAUCGUGGAGCAAGCGUGAGUGAGUUUACCUGUUGAAUAUGCACCGGCUAACUACGUGCCAGCAGCCGCGGUAAUACGUAGGGUGCAAGCGUUAUCCGGAAUUAUUGGGCGUAAAGGGCUCGUAUCGGUUCGUCUCGUCCGCGUGUGAAGUCCAUGUCCAUAACCUUGAGAUUCGCAUCCGCGCCCGGUACGGUUGACUUGAUUGCGGAAGACGAUACUG
rnacentral:rRNA from 1 species